UUUUUAUUGAGAGUUUGAUCCUGGCUCAGGACGAACGCUGGCGGCGUGCCUAACACAUGCAAGUCGAGCGAGGAGAUUCCCUUCGGGGAUGAACCUAGCGGCGGACGGGUGAGUAACACGUGGGCAACCUGCCUUAUAGAGGGGAAUAGCCUUCCGAAAGGAAGAUUAAUACCGCAUAACAUUACAUUUUCGCAUGAAGAAGUAAUUGAAGGAGCCAUCCGCUAUAAGAUGGGCCCGCGGCGCCUUAGCUCGUUGGAGAGGGAACGGCCCAC
rnacentral:rRNA from 1 species